GCCUUAUCCGGAUUUACUGGGUGUAAAGGGUGCGUAGGUGGCAAGGCAAGUCUGAAGUGAAAAUCCGGGGCUCAACCCCGGAACUGCUUUGGAAACUGUUUAGCUAGAGUACAGGAGAGGUAAGUGGAAUUCCUAGUGUAGCGGUGAAAUGCGUAGAUAUUCGGAGGAACACCGGUGGCGAAGGCGGCCAACUGGGCUUUAACUGACGCUGAGGCUCGAAAGUGUGGGGAGCAAACAGGAUUAGAUACCCUGGUAGUCCACACUGUAAACGAUGAUAACUAGGUGUGGGGGGUCUGACCCCUUCCGUGCCGCAGCUAACGCAAUAAGUUAUCCACCUGGGGAGUACGACCGCAAGGUUGAAACUCAAAGGAAUUGACGGGGACCCGCACAAGCAGUGGAUUAUGUGGUUUAAUUCGAAGCAACGCGAAGAACCUUACCAGCACUUGACAUCCGACUAACGAAGUAGAGAUACAUUAGGUGCCCUUCGGGGAAAGUCGAGACAGGUGGUGCAUGGUUGUCGUCAGCUCGUGUCGUGAGAUGUUGGGUUAAGUCCCGCAACGAGCGCAACCCCUGCCAUUAGUUGCUACGCAAGAGCACUCUAAUGGGACCGCUACCGACAAGGUGGAGGAAGGUGGGGACGACGUCAAAUCAUCAUGCCCCUUAUGUGCUGGGCUACACACGUAAUACAAUGGCCGUCAACAAAGAGAAGCAAUACCGCGAGGUGGAGCAAAACUUCAAAAAUGGUCUCAGUUCGGACUGCAGGCUGCAACCCGCCUGCACGAAGUUGGAAUUGCUAGUAAUCGUGGAUCAGCAUGCCACGGUGAAUACGUUCCCGGGUCUUGUACACACCGCCCGUCACACCAUGGGAGUUGGUAACACCCGAAGUCAGUAGUCUAACCGCAAGGAGGACGCUGCCGAAGGUGGCAUUGACGAGCUG
rnacentral:rRNA from 2 species